AUUCAGGCAUGCUCAUGAGAACACGCUGCUCCAGCUGGACUUAGAGGAAGCCGGUGCAUCACAGGCAUUCCUGACAGAGUCUCGUGGUCCUGCUGGUCCACUCACUGGAAUAUCAGCACAUUGAUGGACAUGUGGACUAUUUGGAUUCAGAAGACCUGGUUUGAGCUCAGCUCUGCUGCCAACUGUCUGUGUGACCUUAAGUAAAAUUAUCUCCUCUCU
rnacentral:antisense_RNA from 1 species